UUGGUUUUACGAUUGUUUUGGUCUUUGUGUUGUUUUUGUUUAUGAGGCGCAGGCCUGAUUGAGAUGCAUCACAUGCAGAAGCGUGCAAGUUGAGAUUGUUUCUCUAAUGCUACAGCUAUGAAUGUCAUGGAUUUAUUUCCUCAAGUUAUUUGUCUUACAAAAGCAAGGUGUUCAACAUAACACGACUGCUUCAAGUGCAUUCGUCCUCUCCCACAGGAAUUACGAAAAGAAUGGCAAGAAUGAUUGCUUUCUGGCUGUUUGCCACGCUGUUACUCGGUCACAUCAACGCAGACCUUUUUACGGCGACGACGGCACCCAAUCAAACUACUGAUGAACCCACCUACCCUUCUGAUAAAGACAACAAUGGUACAUCAGCGGACUGUUUUGUUGACACCAAGAAUGGUCUAAUUGCUUCAGGUACAGCAGGAGGUCUCAUCGUUUGCCUGUUGGUUGCCACUGUGGUAUUGGCGUGCCAAGUCUACCACAUUCGGCGCCAGUUCUAUGCUCCGCAAGCUUCCCAUUCCAAUAUGUACUUAAUGAGUAGUACAGAUUACUGGGACACAAACCCACAUGAGUUCGGACUGGUUGGGCCGUGCGAAACCAGCGUCAUGCUGGAGGAGGUGAGCACAGACAACAUAAUACAGGAGGAGACUCAAUUUGAAAUGCCCAGGGAAGAGCUGGUGACUUGCGCAGAAACUGAACAAGGGGUAAAAGCUGGCAACACUGAGGCGAGUGAUUAUCAGUUGCUAAGCUCAAGCCCGAAAGAAGUGACUGGAAAUUUCAAGUGAUAUUUCUAAACUGUUCAGGUCACUUUCACGUCUGUCCAGUUCAGCAGAAAUUUAACAAGGUGUGUUUAGUACCUUGAACAAGGGCUGGCAAAAAGAAAUACAAUUGUCACAUGUGACCUACAAUGGGGGCCUUAAAAGUGCGAUGAAAUACGACAGCAAGGGAGUUUAAAAAUGAUAGCAGACCAUAUUUUGCAUGAAAAUCAAAUCAAAAAAAGAGACAGAAAAGACAAGACUAGCACUGUCGUGUAUUACAAAUACUGCUUUGAACACAUCUUCAGAGACAAAAGCGAUGACACAGGCUUAAAGAGGUCAACUUUAAUUGUGUAAAUCACACUUAAUAACGACACGAUCUCCUAGUUGAAAUAGACGACAUCCACUUAGUUCUAUUGAAGAUAUGUAAUGCUGAGGCAAUUUGUCAACUUUACUUUUAAAAAGAAACGUGCACUGUUUAUCCAGUAGAUGGGGCUCUUGCAGUGUGUCAAACAGUGAUUCAAUUUAGGGCAAUUGUCUUAAAAGUGGUUCAUUGUUUCAGAAAGCCUCGGUUUUUCCAUCCCCAUCUGGAACCCGUCAAGAGUUUACCUAAUGUCGGGUGAAAGUUUGGCGAAGCUAACUUAAGCCCGACUUCAUCCCGUUUACUUGUAGCAUUAGCCGCUAGCGUUAGCUGCUAGCGUUAGCCUACCGGGCUUCUGUUUGAUUGGCUUCCUGAAAACCAUGUGACUCCAAACGUAAGCGCACUGUCUGCUUUCUUAAAGGGGAAUGAACAUAGCCGAACAACACAGAGUCAAAGCGGGAUGAAAACACUAUAUUUUCUUCUUUUAUUAAAUUACCGAAUUUACCGACAUGGUCAAAAUUACGUCGGUCAUCGUGAAGAAUUUCGGUAACGGUAAAUUUUCGGUUUACCGCCCUGCUCUACUCUAACGUACCCAAUAUAAAAUAAAUAGCAUUUAUAUCAUAGUUUAGGGAAACAAGCAGAUUAUAUUUGACAUAGGGCAUAAGAGAUACAUGACGCCUUCUGACCACGGAAGCCCAACGUGUGCCAUGCAGCUGACUAAGCAAGAUUGACGCUGACUACUAGGUGAUAGGCGAGACAUCGAUAAGCCCAUGCCUACAACACCAAAUCCCGCAAUCAGCUCUUCAGGACAGUCCAGAACAAAUAACGGGACGUCCUGUACUACCACAACACCCGAUAACAAAAAGAACUCCAAGUUUGAUAGCUCAGUGCCUCACAGAUGGUGAGGCACGCUGAACCUCCCACAUCUGUUGCCUCAUUAACCAUGACCUAACAACGGUGACACACAAACUUGACCGCGCAAAUCUGCAACAGAAGAAGACCCAAACACACCCCUCUUCCUGCUCAUGGCCCGCCCCACGAGAGCCUUCAAAAAGACUGAACGUUUCACUAAUCGUUGUCAUGUUUUCAAGGGAACCUUUUGUUGACUUGCCAUAUAAUGACCCUGGAACUAUUCUGUUACCUCGCCUGGGUCUGUUGCUGUUUUGCCUUGCCGUUUGAUCGCUAUUGACCUGAAUAAAUUGUCAACUUCUGUUUCAAAGCCUUUUCAAAGUCAGUAUAAGGGGUUAAUACUAAGGUGAAUGCGCUGAGUUUGACCUUUUGGCCGGUAUGUCGGAGUCUCGCCAGCCUGGGUCGUUGGAGCUGCGCCAGCGCGAGUUUGGCGGUUCGGCUGGCGUGAUUCCGCCAAUCUGGCUAAAAGUUCAGAUUCUUUUAUUAGCAUAAGUUCAUGUAACUUAAACUUUUAAGUUUUCCACUUGCAAGUGAAAUAGGUUGACAUGAAAUAGACCCGUAACGAUAACAAAUUUUAGUGUGCAAUAUAUUGUCUCAUGAACUAUUGCCGAUACAAGAUAUUAUAGUCAAAAAUAUAUAUAGAUGGGUGUUUUAUUUAAGAAUAAACAUUUAUUUAAUAUGAAUGGGUGCUGUAUGAGGACAGAUUAACAAUAUUACUAUUUUUUUCCCCCCACAAUGAAUGUGUCAUUUGAAAGCUGGCCUAGUGUAGAAUAUGAAGUAGGUGGGAAAUGUUCUCUGGCCAAUUUAAGCCCACCAAAAAUGUUGAUUUGAUCCUGAAUGACUGUCCUCUUGGCCUGCAAAUUGUGCAUGACAGCAAAUUUGAAGCCCACCGAUUGAAUUUUUUUCAAUCAGAUAUUCCAUAUAGGGUAUCAUUUGAAAAACCUUUAGAAAUCUUAAUUUGAAACAUAUGAGAAUUACUGCACGUAUGCAUUUGUUGAACAUAAAUGUUCACCAGAAAUGCACGCGGUAUUACAAAAAAAGUGCUAUGUAUUUUCCUCAAGCAUGCCAUGCGUUUUUUUUCUCCCCAUUUUUAGCAUCAUCCAUAAAUGCUGUAAAACAGCUAAUUCCAAUGUUUGAAGUGUCACCUUUUAACCGUGAAGAUUGUGUUUUGGAGAAGACUGUCAUUGGUUUAUGAGCAGGCUAAAGUAAUUGGUACAAGUAGACAUUGUCUUUUGCCAUUAGCCUCAAUGUAGCAUUGCUAAUGCAAAUGUAUUUUCUUAUUCUGUAUCUUUGUUUGAACUUUAGUUUUACAGUGUAUUGAUGACCAAUAAACAUAUUUGAAAGGAACUGGAGUCUCACAUGCAAUCAAUGGGCAAAGUUUUAACACACUUGCAUCUGGGAAAAUUACAGACCUA